AGCAACCUCAAGCACAACCUGCACCCAAGAAGAAAGGGCCGGCUAAAAAGAAAGGACCAAGCAAAAAGGCUGGGCCACCAACUGCAACCACAACAGAAGCAUCACCUGGAAACACAACUGCACCACCAACUGCAAGCACCACUUUACCACCACCUAGCACCAUUGUACCACCACCUGCUGCAACCAACAUUGUGUCACUUGCAAGCAACAAUGUGUCAACUACAAGCAA
rnacentral:lncRNA from 1 species